rnacentral:rRNA from 1 species
UACGAAGGGUGCAAGCGUUGUUCGGAAUUACUGGGCGUAAAGCGCGCGUAGGCGGCUUGACAAGUCAGUGGUGAAAUCCCAAGGCUCAACCUUGGAACUGCCAUUGAAACUGUCAGGCUGGAGUAUCGGAGGGGAGAGCGGAAUUGCUAAUGUAGCGGUGAAAUGCGUAGAUAUUAGCAGGAACACCGGUGGCGAAGGCGGCUCUCUGGACGAUAACUGACGCUGAGGCGCGAAAGCGUGGGGAGCAAACAGG